CCUGGCUCAGAUUGAACGCUGGCGGCAUGCCUUACACAUGCAAGUCGAACGGCAGCGGACCUUCGGGUGCCGGCGAGUGGCGAACGGGUGAGUAAUAUAUCGGAACGUACCUUUCAGUGGGGGAUAACGUAGCGAAAGUUACGCUAAUACUGCAUAUUCUGUGAGCAGGAAAGCAGGGGAUCGCAAGACCUUGCGCUGAUUGAGCGGCCGAUAUCAGAUUAGCUAGUUGGUGAGGUAAAGGCUCACCAAGGCGACGAUCUGUAGCGGGUCUGAGAGGAUGAUCCGCCACACUGGAACUGAGACACGGUCCAGACUCCUACGGGAGGCAGCAGUGGGGAAUUUUGGACAAUGGGCGCAAGCCUGAUCCAGCCAUGCCGCGUGAGUGAAGAAGGCCUUCGGGUUGUAAAGCUCUUUCGGCCGGGAAGAAAUCGCACAGGUUAAUACCCUGUGUGGAUGACGGUACCGGAAUAAGAAGCACCGGCUAACUACGUG
rnacentral:rRNA from 1 species